rnacentral:rRNA from 1 species
AUACAGAGGGUGCGAGCGUUAAUCGGAAUUACUGGGCGUAAAGCGCGCGUAGGCGGUCUAUUAAGUCAGAUGUGAAAUCCCAGGGCUCAACCUUGGAACUGCAUCUGAUACUGGUAGACUGGAGUUUUGGAGAGGGAAGUAGAAUUUCAGGUGUAGCGGUGAAAUGCAUAGAGAUCUGAAGGAAUACCAGUGGCGAAGGCGACUUCCUGGCCAAAAACUGACGCUGAGGUGCGAAAGCGUGGGUAGCAAACGGGAUUAGAAACCCUAGUAGUCC